rnacentral:rRNA from 1 species
UCAGGAUGAACGCUAGCGGGAGGCUUAACACAUGCAAGUCGAGGGCAGCACGAGGUAGCAAUACGUUGGUGGCGACCGGCGCACGGGUGAGUAACACGUAUGCAACCUACCCUGUACUGGGGGAUAGCCCGGAGAAAUUCGGAUUAAUACCCCAUGAUUAUAUCGAGAGGCAUCUUUUGAUAUUUAAAGUUUCGACGGUACGGGAUGGGCAUGCGCAACAUUAGCUAGUUGGUAGGGUAACGGCCUACCAAGGCUACGAUGUUUAGGGGACCUGAGAGGGUGAUCCCCCACACUGGUACUGAGACACGGACCAGACGUCCUACGGGAGGCAGCAGUGAGGAAUAUUGGUCAAUGGGCGUAAGCCUGAACCAGCCAUCCCGCGUGAAAAGGAAGAAGGCGCUAUGCGUUGUAAACUUCUUUUCCAGAGGAAGAAAACCCCUGACGUGUCAGGGCUUGCCGGUACUCUGGGAAUAAGCAUCGGCUAACUCCGUGCCAGCAGCAGC